AGAGUUUGAUCCUGGCUCAGGACGAACGCUGGCGGCGUGCCUAAUACAUGCAGGUCGAGCGGACAGAUGGGAGCUUGCUCCCUGAUGUUAGCGGCGGACGGGUGAGUAACACGUGGGUAACCUGCCUGUAAGACUGGGAUAACUCCGGGAAACCGGGGCUAAUACCGGAUGGUUGUUUGAACCGCAUGGUUCAAACAUAAAAGGUGGCUUCGGCUACCACUUACAGAUGGACCCGCGGCGCAUUAGCUAGUUGGUGAGGUAACGGCUCACCAAGGCAACGAUGCGUAGCCGACCUGAGAGGGUGAUCGGCCACACUGGGACUGAAACACGGCCCAGACUCCUACGGGAGGCAGCAGUAGGGAAUCUUCCGCAAUGGACGAAAGUCUGACGGAGCAACGCCGCGUGAGUGAUGAAGGUUUUCGGAUCGUAAAGCUCUGUUGUUAGGGAAGAACAAGUACCGUUCGAAUAGGGCGGUACCUUGACGGUACCUAACCAGAAAGCCACGGCUAACUACGUGCCAGCAGCCGCGGUAAUACGUAGGUGGCAAGCGUUGUCCGGAAUUAUUGGGCGUAAAGGGCUCGCAGGCGGUUUCUUAAGUCUGAUGUGAAAGCCCCCGGCUCAACCGGGGAGGGUCAUUGGAAACUGGGGAACUUGAGUGCAGAAGAGGAGAGUGGAAUUCCACGUGUAGCGGUGAAAUGCGUAGAGAUGUGGAGGAACACCAGUGGCGAAGGCGACUCUCUGGUCUGUAACUGACGCUGAGGAGCGAAAGCGUGGGGAGCGAACAGGAUUAGAUACCCUGGUAGUCCACGCCGUAAACGAUGAGUGCUAAGUGUUAGGGGGUUUCCGCCCCUUAGUGCUGCAGCUAACGCAUUAAGCACUCCGCCUGGGGAGUACGGUCGCAAGACUGAAACUCAAAGGAAUUGACGGGGGCCCGCACAAGCGGUGGAGCGUGUGGUUUAAUUCGAAGCAACGCGAAGAACCUUACCAGGUCUUGACAUCCUCUGACAAUCCUAGAGAUAGGACGUCCCCUUCGGGGGCAGAGUGACAGGUGGUGCAUGGUUGUCGUCAGCUCGUGUCGUGAGAUGUUGGGUUAAGUCCCGCAACGAGCGCAACCCUUGAUCUUAGUUGCCAGCAUUCAGUUGGGCACUCUAAGGUGACUGCCGGUGACAAACCGGAGGAAGGUGGGGAUGACGUCAAAUCAUCAUGCCCCUUAUGACCUGGGCUACACACGUGCUACAAUGGACAGAACAAAGGGCAGCGAAACCGCGAGGUUAAGCCAAUCCCACAAAUCUGUUCUCAGUUCGGAUCGCAGUCUGCAACUCGACUGCGUGAAGCUGGAAUCGCUAGUAAUCGCGGAUCAGCAUGCCGCGGUGAAUACGUUCCCGGGCCUUGUACACACCGCCCGUCACACCACGAGAGUUUGUAACACCCGAAGUCGGUGAGGUAACCUUUUAGGAGCCAGCCGCCGAAGGUGGGACAGAUGAUUGGGGUGAAGUCGUAACAAGGUAGCCGUAUCGGAAGGUGCGGCUG
rnacentral:rRNA from 1 species